rnacentral:rRNA from 1 species
GACGAACGCUGGCGGCGUGCCUAAUACAUGCAAGUCGAACGCAGUGGGGACGGGUGAGUAACACGUGGGUAACCUCCCAUCAGAGGGGAUAACACUUGGCAACAGGUGCUAAACCGAUACUGAUGGAUGGACCCGCGGUGCAUUAGCUAGUUGGAGCGGUUACGGCUCACCAAGGCCACGAUGCAUACCCUACCUGAUAGGGUGAUCGGCCACACUGUGACUGGUACCCGGCCCAGACUCCUACGGGAGGCAGCAGUAGGGAAUCUUCGGCAAUGGACGAAAGUCUGACCGAGCAACGCCGCGUGAGUGAAGAAGGUUUUCGGAUCGGAAAACUCUGUUGUUAGAGAAGCGGUAUCUAACCAGAAAGCCACGGCUAACUACGUGCCAGCAGCCGCGGUAAUUC